AUCACUUACAUAACAGUCGGAGCUGAAUCCACCGACGAUCCACACACCAACGCCUCCUCCUUCGUCGUCCCCGCGAUGCAGAACGUGCUGACCGCUCUCAAGAAAGUCGGUCUGAGCAGAAGAAUCAAAGUCUCCACGACGCCCUCCCUCGGCGUCCUCUCAAGAUCUUUCCCACCUUCCGCUGGAGCGUUCAACAGCAGCUACGCGUAUACGACGCUCUCCCUCGGCGUCCUCUCAAGAUCUUUCCCACCUUCCGCUGGAGCGUUCAACAGCAGCUACGCGUAUUUCUUGAGGCCGAUGCUCGAGUUCUUGGCGGAGAAUCAGUCUCCUUUCAUGGUCGAUCUUUACCCUUACUACGCUUACAGAGAUUCUCCCAACAAUGUGUCUUUGGACUAUGU
rnacentral:lncRNA from 1 species